rnacentral:rRNA from 1 species
GUGUCAGCAGCCGCGGUAAGACAGAGGGUGCAAACGUUGUUCGGAAUUACUGGGCGUAAAGCGCAUGUAGGCGGCCAAGCAGGUCGGAUGUGAAAUCCCUCGGCUCAACCAAGGAAGUGCAUUCGAAACCGCAUGGCUGGAGUCCCGGAGAGGGUAGUGGAAUUCUCGGUGUAGAGGUGAAAUUCGUAGAUAUCGAGAGGAACACCGGCGGCGAAAGCGGCUACCUGGACGAGGACUGACGCUGAGAUGCGAAAGCGUGGGGAGCAAACAGGAUUAGAAACCCCCGUAGUCC